rnacentral:rRNA from 1 species
UACGUAGGGGGCAAGCGUUGUCCGGAAUCAUUGGGCGUAAAGAGCGUGUAGGCGGCUUGGUAAGUCCGCUGUGAAAGUCCAGGGCUCAACCCUGGAAAGCCGGUGGAAACUGUCAAGCUAGAGUCCGGAAGAGGUGAGUGGAACUCCUGGUGUAGCGGUGAAAUGCGCAGAUAUCAGGAAGAACACCAAUGGCGAAGGCAGCUCACUGGGACGGUACUGACGCUGAGACGCGAAAGCGUGGGGAGCAAACAGG